UACGUAGGUCCCGAGCGUUGUCCGGAUUUAUUGGGCGUAAUGCGAGCGCAGGUGGUUUACUAAGUCUGGUGUAAAAGGCAGUGGCUCAACCAUUGUAUGCAUUGGAAACUGGUAGACUUGAGUGCAGGAGAGGAGAGUGGAAUUCCAUGUGUAGCGGUGAAAUGCGUAGAUAUAUGGAGGAACACCGGUGGCGAAAGCGGCUCUCUGGCCUGUAACUGACACUGAGGCUCGAAAGCGUGGGGAGCAAACAGG
rnacentral:rRNA from 1 species